rnacentral:rRNA from 1 species
CAAUAGCGUAUAUUAAAGUUGUUGCAGUUAAAAAGCUCGUAGUUGGAUUUGUGGCGUACGGUGUGUUCCGGGCACUUGUUGUCUGAGUAACCUGCUGUUGCCAUCCUUGGGUGGAACCUGUGUGGCAUUAGGUUGUCGUGCAGGGGAUGCCCAUCAUUUACUGUGAAAAAAUUAGAGUGUUCAAAGCAGGCUUAUGCCGUUGAAUAUAUUAGCAUGGAAUAAUGAGAUAAGACUUUUUUGCUAUUUUGUUGGUUUGCGCAAAGAGGUAAUGAUUAAUAGGGACAGUUGGGGGUAUUCGUAUUCCAUUGUCAGAGGUGAAAUUCUUGGAUUUUUGGAAGACGAACUACUGCGAAAGCAUUUACCAAGGAUGUUUUCAUUAA